CCUCUCAUGGCGUAGGGGUAACGCGCCCUAACUGGAGAUCAGGGAGUCGUGAGUUCGAUUCUCACUGAAAAGA
rnacentral:tRNA from 1 species